GAUGAAGAACGUAGCGAAAUGCGAUAAGUAAUGCGAAUUGCAGAAUUUCUGUGAGUCAUCGAAUCUUUGAACGCACAUUGCGCCCACUGGUAUUCCGGUGGGCAUGCCUGUUCGAGCGUCAUUAUCCUCCCUCAAACCCCGGGUUUGGUGUUGGACCCAAGUUGUGUGAACAACUGGUCUCAAAGACAAUGACGGCGUCCGUGGGACCCUCGGUGCAACGAGCUUUUAGGAGCACGCAUCGAGUUGCAAGGACCUUCCGGGCCGGUCUCCUUUACCAUUUUACAAGGUUGACCUCGGAUCAGGUAGGAAUACCCGCUGAACUUAAGCAUGUCAAUAAGCGGAGGA
rnacentral:misc_RNA from 1 species